CGGAAGGUCCGGGCGUUAUCCGGAUUUAUUGGGUUUAAAGGGAGCGUAGGCCGGCUUUUAAGCGUGCCGUGAAAUUUUGUGGCUCAACCAUGAGAGUGCGGCGCGAACUGGAGGUCUUGAGUGUGCGGAAAGCAGGCGGAAUUCGUGGUGUAGCGGUGAAAUGCUUAGAUAUCACGAAGAACUCCGAUUGCGAAGGCAGCCUGCUGCAGCAUUACUGACGCUGAAGCUCGAAAGCGCGGGUAUCGAA
rnacentral:rRNA from 1 species